UGAAUACGAGACGCUAAGGCGUCGAAGUAGUGUAUGUCACACUUCCAAGAAAAGCUUGCACUGUCAUAGAUAAAAAACGCCUGUACCAUAACCGACACAGGUGGGUAGGUAGAGUAUACUAAGGGGCGCGAGAUAACUCUCUCUAAGGAACUCGGCAAAAUAACUCCGUAACUUCGGGAGAAGGAGUGCCUUAUUCGUAAGGUUGCAAUAACAAGAUCCAAGCAACUGUUUAUCAAAAACACAGGUCUCCGCUAAGUCGUAAGACGAUGUAUGGGGGCUGACGCCCCCCAGUGCCAGAAGGUUAAAGAAGUUGGUUAGCAAUUGCGAAGCUGAUAACUGAAGCCCUGGUGAACGGCGGCCGUAACAAUAACGGUCCUAAGGUAGCGAAAUUCCUUGUCGGGUAAGUUCCGACCCGCACGAAAGGCGUAAUGAUUUGGAUACUGUCUCGGAGAGGGGCUCGGUGAAAUAGACUUGUCUGUGAAGAUGCGGACUACCUGCACCAGGACAGAAAGACCCUAUGAAGCUUUACUGUAACUUGAAAUUGAAAUUGGACUUUAUUCGCGCAGUAUAGGUGGGAGGCGUUGAUUAUAAUCUUGUGGGAUUAUUGGAGCCAUCAGUGAGAUACCACUCUUGUAAUGUUAGAUUUCUAACUUUGAAUCAUUAUCUGGUCAAAGAACAGUUUCAGGCGGGCAGUUUGACUGGGGCGGUCGCCUCCUAAACGGUAACGGAGGCGUACAAAGGUUUCCUCUGAACGGUUAGAAAUCGUAUCUAGAGUGUAAAGGCAUAAGGAAGCUUGACUGUGAGACCUACAAGUCGAGCAGGGACGAAAGUCGGUCUUAGUGAUCUGACGGUACUGAGUGGAAAGGCCGUCACUCAACGGAUAAAAGUUACUCUAAGGAUAACAGGCUGAUCUCCCCCAAGAGUUCACAUCGACGGGGAGGUUUGGCACCUCGAUGUCGGCUCAUCGCAUCCUGGGGCGGUAGUACGUCCCAAGGGUUGGGCUGUUCGCCCAUGAAAGCGGUACGCGAGCUGGGUUCAGAACGUCGUGAGACAGUUCGGUCCAUAUCCGGUGUAGGCGUUAGAAUAUUGAGAGGAGCCUUCUUUAGUACGAGAGGACCGAGAAGGACAUACCUCUGGUGUACCAGUUAUCGUGCCAACGGUAAACGCUGGGUAGCUAUGUAUGGAGUGGAUAACCGCUGAAAGCAUCUAAGUGGGAAGCCCACCUCAAGAUAAGUAUUCUC
rnacentral:rRNA from 1 species